AUUGAACGCUGGCGGCAGGCCUAACACAUGCAAGUCGAACGAGUGGCGGACGGGUGAGUAAUGUCUGGGAAACUGCCUGAUGGAGGGGGAUAACUACUGGAAACGGUAGCUAAUACCGCAUACCAUCGGAUGUGCCCAUAUGGGAUUAGCUAGGAGGGGGGGUACCGGCUCACUUUGGCGAAGAUCCCUAGCUGGUCUGAGAGGAUGACCAGCCACAUGGGAACUGAGACACGGUCCAGACUCCUACUGGAGGCAGCAGUGGGGAAUAUUGCACAAUGGGCGCAAGCCUGCUGCAGCCAUGCCGCGUGUAUUAAGAAGGCCUUCGGGUUGUAAAGUACUUUCAGCGGGGAGGCGUUACCCGCAGAAGAAGCACCGGCUAACUCCGUGCCAGCAGCCGCGGUAAUAC
rnacentral:rRNA from 1 species